rnacentral:rRNA from 1 species
CAGUAGCCACGGGAAUACGUAGGUGGCAAGCGUUGUCCGGAAUUAUUGGGCGUAAAGGGCUCGCAGGCGGUUUCUUAAGUCUGAUGUGAAAGCCCCCGGCUCAACCGGGGAGGGUCAUUGGAAACUGGGAAACUUGAGUGCAGAAGAGGAGAGUGGAAUUCCACGUGUAGCGGUGAAAUGCGUAGAGAUGUGGAGGAACACCAGUGGCGAAGGCGGCUCUCUGGUCUGUAACUGACGCUGAGGAGCGAAAGCGUGGGGAGCGAACAGGAUUAGAUACCCGCGUAGUCCCUGUCUCUUAUAC